rnacentral:rRNA from 1 species
UGGGGAAUCUUGCGCAAUGGGCGAAAGCCUGACGCAGCAACGCCGCGUGCGGGAAGACGGCCUUAGGGUUGUAAACCGCUUUCAGCAGGGACGAAAAUGACGGUACCUGCAGAAGAAGCUCCGGCUAACUACGUGCCAGCAGCCGCGGUAAUACGUAGGGAGCGAGCGUUGUCCGGAUUUAUUGGGCGUAAAGAGCUCGUAGGCGGUUUGGUAAGUCGGGUGUGAAAGCUCCGGGCUCAACUCGGAGAGGUCACUCGAUACUGCCAUGACUGGAGUCCGGUAGGGGGGUGUGGAAUUCCCAGUGUAGCGGUGAAAUGCGCAGAUAUUGGGAGGAACACCAAUGGCGAAGGCAGCACCCUGGGCCGGUACUGACGCUGAGGAGCGAAAGCGUGGGGAGCAAACAG